rnacentral:piRNA from 1 species
UCUGUUGAGAGAGCUUUCAAUAGGGAGU